rnacentral:rRNA from 1 species
GAGAAGGCUAUGUUGGCCGGGCGACGGUUGUCCCGGUUUAAGCGUGUAGGUGUGUGUUCCAGGUAAAUCCGGUUCACUUUAACACUGAGGCGUGACGACGAGGCACUACGGUGCUGAAGCAACAAAUGCCCUGCUUCCAGGAAAAGCCUCUAAGCAUCAGGUAACAUCAAAUCGUACCCCAAACCGACACAGGUGGUCAGGUAGAGAAUACCAAGGCGCUUGAGAGAACUCGGGUGAAGGAACUAGGCAAAAUGGUGCCGUAACUUCGGGAGAAGGCACGCUGACACGUAGGUGAAGUGAUUUACUCAUGGAGCUGAAGUCAGUCGAAGAUACCAGCUGGCUGCAACUGUUUAUUAAAAACACAGCACUGUGCAAACACGAAAGUGGACGUAUACGGUGUGACGCCUGCCCGGUGCCGGAAGGUUAAUUGAUGGGGUCAGCGCAAGCGAAGCUCCUGAUCGAAGCCCCGGUAAACGGCGGCCGUAACUAUAACGGUCCUAAGGUAGCGAAAUUCCUUGUCGGGUAAGUUCCGACCUGCACGAAUGGCGUAAUGAUGGCCAGGCUGUCUCCACCCGAGACUCAGUGAAAUUGAACUCGCUGUGAAGAUGCAGUGUACCCGCGGCAAGACGGAAAGACCCCGUGAACCUUUACUAUAGCUUGACACUGAACAUUGAGCCUUGAUGUGUAGGAUAGGUGGGAGGCUUUGAAGUGUGGACGCCAGUCUGCAUGGAGCCGACCUUGAAAUACCACCCUUUAAUGUUUGAUGUUCUAACGUGGACCCGUAAUCCGGGUUGCGGACAGUGUCUGGUGGGUAGUUUGACUGGGGCGGUCUCCUCCUAAAGAGUAACGGAGGAGCACGAAGGUUGGCUAAUCCUGGUCGGACAUCAGGAGGUUAGUGCAAUGGCAUAAGCCAGCUUGACUGCGAGCGUGACGGCGCGAGCAGGUGCGAAAGCAGGUCAUAGUGAUCCGGUGGUUCUGAAUGGAAGGGCCAUCGCUCAACGGAUAAAAGGUACUCCGGGGAUAACAGGCUGAUACCGCCCAAGAGUUCAUAUCGACGGCGGUGUUUGGCACCUCGAUGUCGGCUCAUCACAUCCUGGGGCUGAAGUAGGUCCCAAGGGUAUGGCUGUUCGCCAUUUAAAGUGGUACGCGAGCUGGGUUUAGAACGUCGUGAGACAGUUCGGUCCCUAUCUGCCGUGGGCGCUGGAGAACUGAGGGGGGCUGCUCCUAGUACGAGAGGACCGGAGUGGACGCAUCACUGGUGUUCGGGUUGUCAUGCCAAUGGCACUGCCCGGUAGCUAAAUGCGGAAGAGAUAAGUGCUGAAAGCAUCUAAGCACGAAACUUGCCCCGAGAUGAGUUCUCCCUGAGACUUAGAGUCUCCUGAAGGAACGUUGAAGACGACGACGUUGAUAGGCCGGGUGUGUAAGCGCAGCGAUGCGUUGAGCUAACCGGUACUAAUGAACCGUGAGGCUUAACCUUACA